AAAAUAGGCCGCGGGGACAGCCACGCCCAAAUUUAACCGCCGAAAGGCCGGGGCGCCAAGUUCGUCCAGCGGAAAAAGGCAGAAAAACGGGUGCGCUAUAGCCUUGGGGGGUGGGGCUGCCCAACUUCGUCCGCCGGACCCGGAAUGACGCGAGACUUUGCGAGCGGCAUCCGUGUGCCAAAAAUAGGCCGCGGGGACAGCCGCGCCCUAAAAUAACCUGCCGAAGUCCAGGGCGCCAAGUUCGUCCAGCGGAAAAAGGCCACAAAAACGGGUGGGCUAUAGCCUUGGGGGGUGGGGCUGGCCAACAUCGUCCGCCGGACCCGGAAUGGCGCGAGAAUUUGCGAGCAGCCUCCGCGUGCCAAAAAUAGGCCGCGGGCACAGCCGCGCCCAAUAAUAACCGCCCGAAGGCCGGGGCGCCAAGUUCGUCCAGCGGAAAAAGGCCACAAAAACGGGUGGGCUAUAGCCUUGGGGGGUGGGGCUGGCCGACUUCGUCCGCCGGACUCGGAAUGGCGCUAGACUUUGCGAGCGGCCUCCGUGUGCCAAAAAUAGGCCGCAGACACAGCCGCGCCUAAAAAUAACCGCCCGAAGGCCGGGACACCAUGUUCGUCCAGCGGAAAAAGGCCACAAAAACGGGUGGGCUAUAGCCUUGGGGGGUGGGGUUGGCCAACUUCGUCCGCCGGACUCGGAAUGGCGCGAGACUUUGCGAGUGGCCUCCGUGUGAUAAAAAUAGGCCGCGGGCACAGCCGUACCCAAAAAUAACAGCCCGAAGGCCGGGGCGCCAAGUUCGUCCAGCGGAAAAGGCCACAAAAACGGGUGGGCUAUAGCCUCGGGGGUUGGGGCUAGCCAACUUCGACCGCCGGACUCGGAAUGGCGCGAGACUUUGCGAGCGGCCUCCGUGUACUAAAAAUAGGCCGCGGACACAGCCGUACCCAAAAAUAACCGCCCGAAGCCGGGGCGCCGAGUUCGUCCAACGGAAAAAGGCCACAAAAACGGGUGGGCUAUAGCCUUGGGGGGUGGGGCUGGCCCACUUCGUCCGCCGGAUCGGAAUGGCGCGAGACUUUGCGAGGGGCCUCCGUGUGCCAAAAAUAGGCCGCGGGCAAGCCGCACCUAAAAAUAACCGCCCGAAGGCCGGGGCGCCAAGUUCGUCCAGUGGAAAAAGGCCACAAAAACGGGUGGGCUAUUGCCUUGGCGGUUGGGGCUGGCCAACUUCGUCCGCCGGACUCAGAAUAGCGCGAGACUUUGCGCGGGGCCUCCGUGUGCCAAAAAUAGGCCCCGGUCAAGCCGUCCCCAAAAAUAACCGCCCGAAGGCCGGGGCGCCAAGUUCGUCCAGCGGAAAAAGGCAACAAAAACGGGUGGGCUAUUGCCUUGGGGGGUGGGGCUGGCCAACUUCGUCCGCCGGACUCGGAAUGGCGCGAGACUUUCCGAGGGGCCUCCGUGCGCCAAAAAUAGGCCGCGGGCAAAACCGCGUCCAAAAAUAACCGACCGAAGGCCGGGGCGCCAAGUUUGUCCAGCGGAAAACGGCCACAAAAACGGGUGGGCUAUAGCAUUGGGGGGUGGGGCUUGCCAACUUCGUCCGCCGGACUUGGAAUGGCGCGAGACUUUGCUAGAGGCCUCUGUGUGCCAAGAAUAGGCCACGGGUACAGGCGCGCCCAAAAAUAACCGCCCGAAGGCCGGGGCGCCAAGUUCGUCCACCGGAAAAAUGCCACAAAAACGGGUGGGCUAUAGCCUUGGGGGGUGGAGCUGGCCAACUUCGUCCACCGGACUAGGAAUGGCGCGAGACUUUGCUAGAGGCCUCCGUGUGCCAAGAAUAGGCUGCGGGUACAGCCGUGCCCAAAAAUAACCGCCCGAAGGCCGGGGCGCCAAGUUCGUCCAGCGGAAAAAGGCCACAAGAACGGGUGGGCUAUAGCCUUGGGGGGUGGGGCUGGGCAACUUCGUCCGCCGGACUCGGAAUGGCGCGAGACGUUGCGAGCAGCCUCCGUGUGCCAAGAAUAGGCCGCGGGCACAGCCGAACCCAAAAAUAACCGCCCGAAGGCCGGGGGCACCAAGUUCGUCCAGCGGAAAAAGGCCACAAAACGGGUGGGCUAUAGCCUUGGGGGGUGGGGCUGGCCAAGUUCGUGCGCCGGACUUGGAAUGGCGUGAGACUUUGCGCGGCACCUCCGCAUGCCAAAACUAGGCUGCAGGCACAGCCGCGCCCGAAAAUAACCGCUCGAAGGCCGGGGCGCCAAGUUCGUCCAGCGGAAAAAGGCCACAAAAUCGGGUGCGCUAUAGCCUUGGGGGGUGGAGCUGGCCAACUUCGUCCGCUGGACUCGGAAUGGCGCGUGACUUUGCGAGGCACCUCCGUGUGCCAUAAAUAGGCCGCGGGCACAGCCGCGUCGAAAAAUAACCCCCCGAAGACCGGGGCGCCAUGUUCGUCCAGCGGAAAAAGGCCACAAAAACGGGUGGGCUAUAGCCUUGGGGCGUGGGGCUGGCCAACUUCGUCCGCUGGACUUGGAUUGGCGUGAGACUUUGCGAGGUGCCUCCGUUUGCGAAAAAUAAGCCGCGGGCACAGCCAGGCCAAAAAAUAACAGCCCGAAGGCCGGGGCGCCAAAUUCGUCCAGUGGAAAAAGGCCACAAAAACGGGUGGGCUAUAGCCUUGGGGGGCGGGGCUGGCCAACUUCGUCCGCGGGACUCAGAAUGGCGCGAGAUUUUGCGAGGGGCCUCCGUGUGCCAAAAAUAGCCGGCGGAAAAAACCGCGCCCAAAAAUAACCGCCCGAAGGCCGGGGCGCCAGGUUCGUCCAGCGGAAAAAGGCCACAAAAACGGGUGGGCUAUAGCCUUGGGGGGUGGGCUAUAGCCUUGGGGGGCGGGGCUGGCCAACUUCGUCCGCCGGACUCGUAAUGGCGCGAAACUUUACGACGCGCCUCCGUGUGCCAAAAAUAGGCCGCGGGCACAGCCGCGCCCAAACAUAACCACCCGAAGGCCGGGGCGCGAAGUUCGUCCAGCGGAAAAAGUCCACAAAAACGGGUGGGCUAUAGCCUUGGGGGGUGGGGCUGGCCAACUUCGUCCGCCGGACUCGGAAUGGCGCGAGACUUUGCGAGGAUCCUCCAUGUGCCAAAAAUAGGCCGCGGGCACAGCCGCGCCCAAAAAUAACUGCCCAAAGACCGGGGCGCCAAGUUCGUCCAGCGGAAAAAGGCCACAAAAACGGGUGGGCUAUAGCCUUGGGGGGUGGGGCUGGCCAACUUCGUCCGCCGAACUCGGAAUGGCGCGAGACUUUGCGAGGCGCCUCCGUGUGCCAAAAAUAGGCCGCGGGCGCAGCCGCGCCUAAACAUAACCGCCCGAAGGCCGGGGCGCCAAGUUCGUCCAGUGGAAAAAGGCCACAAAAACGGGUGGGCUAUAGCCUUGGGGGGUGGGCUAGGACCAUGGGGGGUGCGGCUGGCCAACUUCGUCNNNNNNNNNNNNNNNNNNNNNNNNNNNNNNNNNNNNNNNNNNNNNNNNNNNNNNNNNNNNNNNNNNNNNNNNNNNNNNNNNNNNNNNNNNNNNNNNNNNNCCCUCCGUGUGCCAAAAAUAGGUCGCGGGCACAGCGGCGCUCAAACAUACCCGCCGGAAGCCGGGGGCUCCAGGUCGGCCACCGGAAAAAGGCCACAAAAACGGGUGGGCUAUAGCCUUGGGGGGUGGGGCUGGCCAACUUCGUCCGCCGGACUCGGAAAGCCACGAGACUUUGCGAGGGGCCUCCGUGUGCCAAAAAUAGCCGGCGGAUAAAACCGCGCCCAAAAAUAACCGCCCGAAGGCCGGGGCGCCAGGUUCGUCCAGCGGAAAAAGGCGACAAAAACGGGUGGGCUAUAGCCUUGGGGGGUGGGGCUGGCCAACUUCGUCCGCCGGACUCGGAAUGCCGCGAGACUUUGCAAGGGGCCUCCGUGUGCCAAAAAUAGGCCGCGGGCAAGCCGCGACCAUAAAUAACCGCCCGAAGGCCAGGGCGCCAAGUUCGUCCAGCGGAAAAAGGCCACAAAAACGGGUGGGCUAUUGCCUUGGCGGGUGGGGCUGGCCAACUUCGUCCGCCGGACUCGGAAUGGCGCGAGAAUUUAUGUGCGCUUCCGUGUGCCAAAAAUAGGCCGCGGCACAGCCGCGCCAAAAAAUAACCGCCCGAAGGCCGGGGCGCCAAGUUCGUCAAGCGGAAAAAGGCCACAAAAACGGGUGGGCUAUAGCCUUGGGGGGUGAGGCUGGCCUACUUCGUCCGCCGCACUCGGAAUGGCGCGAGACUUUACGAGCGGCCUCCGUGUGCAAAAAAAAAACCGCGGGCACAAAAACUGCCGAAGUCCGGGGCGCCAAGUUCGUCCAGCGGAAAAAGGCCACAAAAACGGGUGGGCUAUAGCCUUGGGGGGAGGGGCUGGCCAACUUCGUCCGCCGGACCCGGAAUGGCGCGAGAAUUUGCGAGCAGCCUCCGCGUGCCAAAAAUAGGCCGCGGGCACAGCCACGCCCAAUAAUAACCGCCCGAAGGCCGGGGCGCCAAGUUCGUCCAGCGGAAAAAGGCCACAAAAAUGGGUGGGCUAUAGCCUUGGGGGGUGGGGCUACCCAACUUCGUCCGCCGGACCCGGAAUGGCGCGAGACUUUGCGAGCGGCCUCCGCGUGCCAAAAAUAGGCCGCGGGUACAGCCACGCCCAAUAAUAACCGCCCGAAGGCCGGGGCGCCAAGUUCGUCCAGCGGAAAAAGGCCACAAAAAUGGGUGGGCUAUAGCCUUGGGGGGUGGGGCUGGCCAACUUCGUCCGCCGGACUCGGAAUGGCGCGAGACUUUACGAGCGGCCUCCGUGUGCAAAAAAAAAACCGCGGGCACAAAAACUGCCGAAGUCCGGGGCGCCAAGUUCGUCCAGCGGAAAAAGGCCACAAAAACGGGUGGGCUAUAGCCUUGAGGGGUGGGGCGGGCCAACUUCGUCCGCCGGACCCGGAAUGGCGCGAGAAUUUGCGAGCAGCCUCCGCGUGAUAAAAAUAGGCCGCGGGCACAGCCGCACCCAAAAAUAACAGCCCGAAGGCCGGGGCGCCAAGUUCGUCCAGCGGAAAAGGCAACAAAAACGGGUGGGCUAUAGCCUCGGGGGUUGGGGCUGGCCAACUUCGACCGCCGGACUCGGAAUGGCGCGAGACUUUGCGAGCGGCCUCCGUGUACUAAAAAUAGGCCGCGGACACAGCCGUACCCAAAAAUAACCGCCCGAAGCCGGGGCGCCGAGUUUGUCCAACGGAAAAAGGCCACAAAAACGGGUGGGCUAUAGCCUUGGGGGGUGGGGCUGGCCAACUUCGUCCGCCGGAUCGGAAUGGCGCGAGACUUUGCGAGCGGCCUCCGUGUGCCAAAAAUAGGCCGCGGGCACAGCCGCGCCCAAGAAUAACCGCCCGAAGGCCGGGGCGCCAAGUUCGUCCAGCGGAAAAAGGCCACAAAAACGGGUGGGCAAUAGCCUUGGGGGGUGGGGCUGCCCAACUUCGUCCGCCGGACCCGGAAUGGCGCGAGACUUUGCGAGCGGCCUCCAUGUCCCAAAAAUAGGCCGCGGGGACGGCCACGCCCAAAAAUAACCGCCGAAAGGCCGGGGCGCCAAGUUCGUCCAGCGGAAAAAGGCAGAAAAACGGGUGGGCUAUAGCCUUGGGGGGUGGGGCUGCCCAACUUCGUCCGCCGGACCCGGAAUGACGCGAGACUUUGCGAGCGGCAUCCGUGUGCCAAAAAUAGGCCGCGGGGACAGCCGCGCCCUAAAAUAACCUGCCGAAGUCCAGGGCGCCAAGUUCGUCCAGCGGAAAAAGGCCACAAAAACGGGUGGGCUAUAGCCUUGGGGGGUGGGGCUGGCCAACUUCGUCCGCCGGACCCGGAAUGGCGCGAGAAUUUGCGAGCAGCCUCCGCGUGCCAAAAAUAGGCCGCGGGCACAGCCGCGCCCAAUAAUAACCGCCCGAAGGCCGGGGCGCCAAGAUCGUCCAGCGGAAAAAGGCCACAAAAACGGGUGGGCUAUAGCCUUGGGGGGUGGGGCUGGCCCACUUCGUCCGCCGGAUCGGAAUGGCGCGAGACUUUGCGAGCGGCCUCCGUGUGCCAAAAAUAGGCCGCGGGCACAGCCGCGCCCAAGAAUAACCGCCCGAAGGCCGGGCUGCCAAGUUCGUCCAGCGGAAAAAGGCCACAAAAACGGGUGGGCUAUAGCCUUGGAGGGUGGGGCUGGCCA
rnacentral:lncRNA from 1 species